GACGAACGCUGGCGGCGUGCUUAAUACAUGCAAGUCGAGCGGACAGGCCCUGCGUUUGCUGGUUUCUCGUUUGCCGAGCGGGUGUGUGUCACGCGUGGAUCCUGCCCCUGUCUUUCUGAUAUCUUCUGGAAACAGCGGCUCUUAUCGGGUAUGAUCUUCUGCUGCAUGUUGGUGGUUGGUAAGUUUCGGCGGUUCUGGAUGGACUCGCUGCUUCCGAGCUUGUUGGUGUGGUAGUGGCUUACCAAGCCUGUGACGGGUAGCCUGCCUGAGAGGGGUAACGGCGACAUGGGGACUGAGAUACGGCCCAGAAGGCUACGGGAGGCAGAAGUGGGGAAUAUUGCACAAUGGGCGGAAGCGUGAUGCAGCAGCGCUGCGUGCGGGAUGAUGGCUUUCGGGUUGUGAACCGCUGUCGAAUGUAACGAAGCGUGCGUGACGGUAAUGGGUAAAAAAGCACCGGCUAACUACGUG
rnacentral:rRNA from 1 species